rfam:Gossypium hirsutum cultivar TM-1 unplaced genomic scaffold scaffold3179.1, whole genome shotgun sequence
UAUUAAAAACUUUAUCUAUUUAUACGGUUAAAAAUUAACAUGGCUGACAAAAUAACUAGAUAAUGACAUGUGGUGUGCCACGUAUAUCUCAUGCUAACGCACAGAACCAGUUUUUAACAGUAAAAAUUGAUUAAAUUUUUUAAAA